AUUGAACGCUGGCGGCAUGCCUUACACAUGCAAGUCGAACGGCAGCACGGACUUCGGUCUGGUGGCGAGUGGCGAACGGGUGAGUAAUACAUCGGAACGUACCCUGUUGUGGGGGAUAACUAGUCGAAAGAUUAGCUAAUACCGCAUACGACCUGAGGGUGAAAGUGGGGGACCGUAAGGCCUCACGCAGCAGGAGCGGCCGAUGUCUGAUUAGCUAGUUGGUGGGGUAAAGGCCCACCAAGGCGACGAUCAGUAGCUGGUCUGAGAGGACGAUCAGCCACACUGGGACUGAGACACGGCCCAGACUCCUACGGGAGGCAGCAGUGGGGAAUUUUGGACAAUGGGGGCAACCCUGAUCCAGCAAUGCCGCGUGUGUGAAGAAGGCCUUCGGGUUGUAAGCACUUUGUCCGGAAGAAAUACGCUUCGGUUAAUACCUGGGUGGAUGACGGUACCGGAAGAAUAAGCACCGGCUAACUACGUGCCAGCAGCCGCGGU
rnacentral:rRNA from 1 species